rnacentral:rRNA from 1 species
GAUGAACGCUGGUGGCGUGCCUAACACAUGCAAGUCGAGCGAUUCUCUUCGGAGAAGAGCGGCGGACGGGUGAGUAACGCGUGGGUAACCUGCCCUGUACACACGGAUAACAUACCGAAAGGUAUGCUAAUACGAGAUAACAUGCUUUGAUCGCAUGGUAGAAGUAUCAAAGCUUUUGCGGUACAGGAUGGAUCCGCGUCUGAUUAGCUAGUUGGUGAGGUAACGGCUCACCAAGGCGACGAUCAGUAGCCGACCUGAGAGGGUGAUCGGCCACAUUGGAACUGAGACACGGUCCAAACUCCUACGGGAGGCAGCAGUGGGGAAUAUUGCACAAUGGGCGAAAGCCUGAUGCAGCAACGCCGCGUGAGCGAUGAAGGCCUUCGGGUCGUAAAGCUCUGUCCUCAAGGAAGAUAAUGACGGUACUUGAGGAGGAAGCCCCGGCUAACUACGUG